GAUUAACGCUGGCGGCGUGCCUAACACAUGCAAGUCGAACGAGGUAGCAAUACCUAGUGGCAGACGGGUGAGUAACGCGUGGUCAACCUACCGUUGAGCGGGGGAUAACUAGCCGAAAGGUUAGCUAAUACCGCAUACGUCCGGCCCGGCAUCGGGCCGUGAUAAAAGCCGUAAGGCACUCGACGACGGGACCGCGUCCCAUUAGUUAGUUGGUGGGGUAAUGGCCUACCAAGACCGCGAUGGGUAGCUGGUUUGAGAGAGCGACCAGCCACACUGGGACUGAGAAACGGCCCAGACUCCUACGGGAGGCAGCAGUGAGGAAUUUUCCGCAAUGGGCGCAAGCCUGACGGAGCGACGCCGCGUGUGGGAAGAAGGCCUUCGGGUCGUAAACCACUGUCGAAGGGGAAGAUAUUGACGGUACCCUUGGAGGAAGCCCCGGCUAACUACGUGCCAGCCGCCGCCGUAAUAC
rnacentral:rRNA from 1 species